rnacentral:rRNA from 1 species
UACGAAGGGGGCUAGCGUUGCUCGGAAUCACUGGGCGUAAAGGGUGCGUAGGCGGGUCUUUAAGUCAGGGGUGAAAUCCUGGAGCUCAACUCCAGAACUGCCUUUGAUACUGAAGAUCUUGAGUUCGGGAGAGGUGAGUGGAACUGCGAGUGUAGGGGUGAAAUUCGUAGAUAUUCGCAAGAACACCAGUGGCGAAGGCGGCUCACUGGCCCGAUACUGACGCUGAGGCACGAAAGCGUGGGGAGCCGAA